GACGAACGCUGGCGGCGUGCUUAACACAUGCAAGUCGAACGAAGUGGCGAACGGGUGAGUAAUACGUGAGUAACCUGCCCUCCUUUAUGGGAUAAGCCUUGGAAACGGGUUCUAAUACCGAAUAAAGGGGGAUGGGCGCGCGGCAUAUCAGCUUGUUGGUGGGGUGAUGGCCUACCAAGGCGGUGACGGGUAGCCGGCCUGGGAGGGUGACCGGCGACCUUGCGCCUGGGGUACGGCCCUGACGCAUACGGGAGGAAGCAGUGGGGGAUAUUGAACAAUGGGCGAAAGCCUGAUGCAGCGGCGCAGCGUGGGGGAUGAAGGCUUUCGGGUUGUAAACAUCUUUCGCUAUCGAAAGGGUAGGUGGAGAAGAAGCGCCGGCUAAGUACGUGCCAGCCGCCGCGGUAAUAC
rnacentral:rRNA from 1 species